GCGUGAACGAUGAAGUAUUUCGGUACGUAAAGUUCUUUUAUUAGGGAAGAAUAAAUGAUGGAAAAAUCAUUCUGACGGUACCUAAUGAAUAAGCCCCGGCUAACUAUGUGCCAGCAGCCGCGGUAAUACAUAGGGGGCAAGCGUUAUCCGGAAUUAUUGGGCGUAAAGGGUGCGUAGGCGGUUAAAUAAGUUUAUGGUCUAAGUGCAAUGCUCAACAUUGUGAUGCUAUAAAAACUGUUUAGCUAGAGUAAGAUAGAGGCAAGUGGAAUUCCAUGCGUAGUGGUAAAAUGCGUAAAUAUAUGGAGGAACACCAGUAGCGAAGGCGGCUUGCUGGGUCUUUACUGACGCUGAGGCACGAAAGCGUGGGGAGCAAACAGGAUUAGAUACCCUGGUAGUCCACGCCGUAAACGAUGAGUACUAAACGUUGGGUAAAACCAGUGUUGAAGUUAACACAUUAAGUACUCCGCCUGAGUAGUACGUACGCAAGUAUGAAACUUAAAGGAAUUGACGGGACUCCGCACAAGCGGUGGAUCAUGUUGUUUAAUUCGAAGGUACCCGAAAAACCUCACCAGGUCUUGACAUGCUUCUGCAAAGCUGUAGAAACACAGUGGAGGUUAUCAGUUGCACAGGUGGUGCAUGGUUGUCGUCAGCUCGUGUCGUGAGAUGUUGGGUUAAGUCCCGCAACGAGCGCAACCCUUAUUGUUAGUUACCAGCACGUAAUGGUGGGGACUUUAGCAAGACUGCCAGUGAUGAAUUGGAGGAAGGUGGGGACGACGUCAAAUCAUCAUGCCCCUUAUGACCUGGGCUACAAACGUGAUACAAUGGCUGUUACA
rnacentral:rRNA from 1 species